AUGAUUAUUAGCAUCAAAUCCGUUUUUGAUACGGGGUGGAAGGGGAUCCUGGCAUGCUAUAUUUGUGGUACAGAGAGAGGUCAUCCCUCGCCUUUGUUCUUGCCAGUGCAAUUUUGCCUGCUUUCUGCUCUUUCUACCAUCAGCCGUGAUCGAGGGGAGUGUGCUAUGGCGGGUCAUGGAGGGAGUGUGAGCAAUGUUUUGGGGAAAACACUUGCGAGUGGAGAGGGAUCGAGGGUGAUGACGGAUGCCACGGCUGCUGAAUCCUCUCUCCACCAGCUGGGGAUGAAGGUGGCCACUGCCCCUUCCAUGACCCCUGAGAGUAAGGGGAAGUCGAUGCCGAGGCGCCCCCGUGGCGAUGGCUCGGCUCUGAUUAUCGACAUGGAGGCCGCGCGGAAGGCUAUCGGUGGAUCACGGGUGGUGGGGCGGCUUCUUUCGCCCUUCCAAGUGAACCCGCAGGUCAUAGUCGAUGAGCUUCGAGCUUGUUCAGCAUGGAGGCUGCACGGAACGGUCACUGUUCAAGAUGUGGCCAGCGAGGACGGGAGGUUCGUCCUGAACUUUUCCACCGAGGAGGACCGGCGGUUCAUUUUGAAGGCCCAGCCAUGGCACCAUAAGCGUGAUGGAGUCAUCUUCGCCGAGUUCGACGGCAAGGGAAACCCAGCAGAGGUUGACCUUGGCAUAAUGCCAAUAUGGGUGCAGGUUCGUGAUCUAGAUUUUGAACUCAAAACUGAGCGCAUGGGCUGGACUUUAGGAGAACAAAUUGGGGAUGUGAUUGUUGUUUCCCAUAGAGAUCACUUAAUUGUAGAGAAAUAUCUGCGUAUAAGGGUGGAAAUCCCUCUGCAUGAACCUCUUAAGACAAGAGUAGAAUUCACUCCUUUGGGUAGUUCUGAGAGUGUUAAGUAUGAUGUUAGAUAUGAGAAACUUCCUUUGUACUGUGAGUGCUGUGGGAUUGUAGGACAUACCUCAGAGCGCUAUUGUAGUAUACCUAAGGAUAAAAGGGUUGUUUCUUUUCCAAAGAAUCUUAGUGUAGAGGCAUAUUGGAAGGGAACAGGGGCAAGUAAAAGAACACUUUUGUUCACCGGCUCCAACAGCAACAACUACUCUAGAGCUGCGGAAAAGAGUGUGGUCAAGGUGACCAAAGCCGUGGCUAACCUCACGGUCACGGAUAUGAUCACUACGACGACAACGACGCUUGCCGCUGCGGCGUUUGGUGGGCCAACCCAGGAGGGCGUCACGCUCGGCCAGGAGGGCCGGGUGUAUGGGGCUCCAACGCCGCUCCACCCAGGCGCUGGUUCUGGUCAGGAGGACCAGCAAACUCUUCCGAGGCCCUCUGCUCUCUCUGGCCAGGCGGGCCAGGGAAAGGAGGCGGGGGGGCGGCUCUUCCAUUAG
rnacentral:rRNA from 1 species